GAUGAACGCUAGCGGCAGGCCUAACACAUGCAAGUCGAGGGGUAGAACACUUCGGUGUUUGAGACCGGCGCACGGGUGCGUAACGCGUAUGCAAUCUACCUUGUACAGGGGAAUAGCCCAGAGAAAUUUGGAUUAAUGCCCCAUAGUAUAUAACCUUCGCAUGUUGGUUAUAUUAAAGUUCCAACGGUACAAGAUGAGCAUGCGUCCCAUUAGUUAGUUGGUAAGGUAACGGCUUACCAAGACGAUGAUGGGUAGGGGUCCUGAGAGGGAGAUCCCCCACACUGGUACUGAGACACGGACCAGACUCCUACGGGAGGCAGCAGUGAGGAAUAUUGGUCAAUGGUCGCAAGACUGAACCAGCCGUGCCGCGUGCAGGAAGACGGUCCUAUGGAUUGUAAACUGCUUUUAUACAGGAAGAAACCCUCCCACGUGUGGGAGCUUGACGGUACUGUAGGAAUAAGGAUCGGCUAACUCCGUG
rnacentral:rRNA from 1 species